rnacentral:rRNA from 1 species
CGGACGGGUGAGUAAUGUCUGGGAAACUGCCCGAUGGGAGGGGAUAACUACUGGAAACGGUAGCUAAUACCGCAUAACGUCGCAAGACCAAAGAGGGGGACCUUAGGGCCUCUUGCCAUCGGAUGUGCCCAGAUGGGAUUAGCUAGUAGGUGGGGUAAUGGCUCACCUAGGCGACGAUCCCUAGCUGGUCUGAGAGGAUGACCAGCCACACUGGAACUGAGACACGGUCCAG